UACGUAGGGUCCGAGCGUUGUCCGGAAUUACUGGGCGUAAAGAGCUCGUAGGUGGUUUGUCGCGUUGUUCGUGAAAACUCACAGCUCAACUGUGGGCGUGCGGGCGAUACGGGCAGACUUGAGUACUGCAGGGGAGACUGGAAUUCCUGGUGUAGCGGUGGAAUGCGCAGAUAUCAGGAGGAACACCGGUGGCGAAGGCGGGUCUCUGGGCAGUAACUGACGCUGAGGAGCGAAAGCGUGGGGAGCGAUCAGG
rnacentral:rRNA from 1 species